GGCCUCGAUACCGCGGCUCUAACUCCGAUCACUACUGCGCAGACUCUGGCUCCAAAUGAAGAUGCAAGCGCAAGAUGGCAGCUCCCGUAUCCGGGAUACUUUGGCUUCAUUUUUGUACAAUGGGCUGAAGUGGAGACGCCUCGUUCAUCUUUAUAUACCGUUUAUGGUCUAAACAGGAGGCAUAGUAUGAGCAGCAGCUUCUUUACUUCGUCAGUGGGCGAAAAUGAACGAACAAAUGUUUUUGAACAACAUCUUUUUAGUGUCCAGUAUUUUCCGGGUCUAACGUCUGACUGCCCAUGAAUCCUUGACUUUUCCCACUCGCUUUUAUCGUAUGGUAUUGCUCACGCUGCCUACGGGGAGUGAACGAGAAGUGAUUGAAUCGGUCUUGAGCCCAGACAGCUUGGCAGCUACAGUUACUGAACGAGACAGAAUGAACCGUUCUCUCGUGGGACAUCGGCUGCAGCUUGCCCAGGAAGAACAACAAAUCGAUGCAGUCAAAUCACAUUUCUGUAACAUCUGUUGAGCUUACACAACCUACAUACAAGCAUGGGUUCGUUACUUAGAAAAUGCUAAAGUAGUGCAGCAGCGAGGACCGUCGACUCAGUCACAGACCUCCGCUGCCAGCCAGAGCCAACAGGCCAAUGGUGCAUUCAAGUGCUCCUCGGAUGGUCGUUCUUACGACUUCAGUGUGUGCAUGAGCUUCAAGUUGUAGUGUGGAAACAACAGGGACGCUACAAACAAGAUGUGUUUUAUUGUAUUGCUCAGUGCGUUUAAACAACACGUUGAUAACGAAGAGCAAAGGAAACGGAUCAGGUGAACCAUUAAAUAUGAUCUAGAACUAAUUUUUAAGAUUAUUCCGACACCACAUGAAUGUAGCAGCAGCGGCACAAGGCUGCGAAGCUAACUGGGACUUGUACUACUUGCCGGCUCAAAGAACGACCGGUCUUUGGUCAGUGACAUUUCUCACAUUUAAAUGUAAUGUAAUUUACGCACUUAUAGCGUGAGUGAAACGUGAGCCUGUGUAGACAUCUGGAUUGAGUUAUCUGUUCUGUCAGACGCACGUGAGAAGCAGCUGAAACGCCUCCUGUGUAGACAGCAGAUACUCUGAAGACCUAGAGACUUGACUUGGAGUUGCCCCACCAGAGUUGAAAACUAUUCUGGUAAAAUGAAUUCUUGUUAAAUGUUUUCAGUGCAAAACCCAAUGAGCCAGUUAAACUUUCUUCCCUCCCAAUCCUCACAAAAUGUUGCCACAGCACUGAUGGCCCAGCCAGCCAAUUAAUUAGGCUAUCCCUUUUUUUCCACGCUGUUCGAGUAAAGUCAAUGCUCCCACUCUGGUGAGCUACCCGUUUAAGACAAAAGACUCUUCUCUCUCCUCACUAAUGUUUUCACAGUACUCACAGUACACUGCAGUACUUACAGCAGCCUAAGUACUCACAGCAGGUUAAUUACACACUAGCCUCACAGUCUCUCAAAGCUGCAAAUGUUGCUAGAUACAUAAGGUGCCAUUGUUGAACUCCCCCAUUAUGCAUUCUGUAUCUAUAAUGCAUCCCUGAGGGAAUCUACAGACUUAAUUGGCAGACUGUUGCACAGAACCAGUUGCAUGCCUCUCAGUCACCUGUUAUCACAAAACUGACUUCUGCACAGAAAGCAGCAUUUGAAUUUUUCAAAGUAGAAUCACGAUAAUAGCUACAGAACAUUUUGCAAGCUCUUCAGUUUCUCCAUCAGCCAACACAGCCGCUGGUAGCUUGCCAUCAUUCUUCCAGCUCUACCUGCUAAAUGGGUUUCAAUCUGCCAUUUCUCAGCAGAGCUAGAGAGACAUGUAACAAGUCAUGUGUCUCUCCCAAAUGGAGAGAGCAACAACUGCAGGAAGAGAGAGAGAGAAAAUUGCUGAGAGGAAAAUGUCUGAGCUGUUUGUUAAUUGGAAAGAACAUUUAGUAGACUCCUUCACAAACAUAUGACAACCCCACCUGUUCGUUUGCCAGUUUCCCUGGCGUGUGUUACAAUAUGGAGCUGACAGUACUCCAUGAGAGUUUGGCUGCUGUUUUGACAGGAGAGAAAAACUGUCUUGGCAAAACCCAUAUUACAAUCCUCAAAAUGUAAAACCUACAAAUCAAGGCAAUGUGUUUUCUUUGAAAGGGUUUUUUUUUUUUUUUUGCCCUUUCUGUUUUUUCACAAUUGGCUGAAACAAAAGGCAACCUCAGCCAGAUGAGCAAUUGAUUUCACUAAUCCAUACAAAUGUUAAAAAUAGCCCUCGAGAAUAGGAGUGCUAUAGUGUAAUAGAAAUAAUGUGUGAUUCUUCUCUUUUUGUGGUAUGUGUGAUACGGAUUUACUUUAACCACUUUUUUUUUUAUUUAAGAUGUACUUUCCGACCAGUUGAAAAAUACUCAAGAGACACAUAUAGGCACAUAUAGUAUCCAGGACGCACACUAGCAAGAGGCUAGCUAGCACACACAUACCAAGCUCCCUAAAUACACAUAUACAUAGUGACACAUGAUUGCUUUUGGUGCAUUUAACCUGCUGAAACUGAAACCAGUUUCUUAAAUGGUAAAUGGACUGUACUUGUAUAGCGCCUUUCUAGUCUUCCGACUACUCAAAGCGCUUCACACUUGAAGAAAAUUACACUUCACAAGCAAUUUCAAGAUCAACGCAAAAGUGCAAGUGUGAGUCACAGCCAACAUCACACUAUCACACAACCAGUAGCCUCAGCUGUGUCGUACAGAUUGUGACAUAUGGUGAACACCAUCUGAAAACUGUACUACAGUACACUGCAGACAUUACCAAAUAUAGGUUGUGGAAUAUAGGCUAGUAAUAUGUGCUCUCAACCCCAAGAGGCUCUUGAAUACCUACAACCUCUUCUCCCUUUCUCACAAGUGUACUGAAAGUGAAGCGUAAUAAGCUCGUCUAGGCAUACACAUGAUUCUUUUUUUCAUCUUAACAUUUGGAGCUGAAAGGAUUGGUCUCCAGACAACAGUCUUCAGAGAACUUAACGAUCAUGCCAUCUGGAGGCAGGGAAGUGCUGUAGCCACUGAUAUCGAUCAUCUUUUUACACUUUACUCUCACAGAUGGUAAAAAAAACACCAUCUGGGCGCAGGUGUUGGUGCUUUGAAAAUGAAAAGCAGCCACGGCAAAAUAGCCAUAAAAAUAUUUGUCCUGCUUUAAUUAGGAGCUUUUAAUGUGCAAGUCUUUUAAGAGUUAAAGUAGCUGCGCUGCUGUGUGUGGGAGUGUGUGAGUGUGGCCAUUUAUGCACACACGUAUGUAACCUCUAGGGCUUAAAAGUUUGAGACAAAAUUCAUAACUUAAAUUUCAGCUGCUGAACUACAUUUUGCCUUCAGACACAAACUGUAUUGCAUUUUCUACCUUCUGCACAGUAAAUACCAAUGUAUAAAAUAUAUUAAAAUGA